rnacentral:lncRNA from 1 species
CCACCCGUUUUUUGCUCAUUUUUCCGCUGGGGUGUCUUGGGACCCCGACCUUCGGGGGCUGAUUUUUGGGCGCGGCUGUGCCCGUGGCCUAUUUUUGGCACACGGAGGCCGCCCGCCUAGUCUGGGGCCAUUCCGAGUCAGGCGGACGAACUUCGCCCAAGCCCCCCACCAAGGCUAUAGCCCACCCGUUUUUUGGCCAUUUUCCGCUGGGGGGUCUUGGCACCCCGACCUUCGGGGGCUGAUUUUUGGGCGCGCCUGUGCCCGUGGCCUAUUUUUGGCACACGGAGGCCGUCCGCCAAGUCAGGGGCCAUUCCGAGUCCGGCGGACGAACUUCGCCCACGCCCCCCACCAAGGCUAUAGCCCACCCGUUUUUUGGCCAUUUUUCCGGUUGGGGGUCUUGGGACCCCGACCUUCGGGGGCUGAUUUUUGGGCACGGCUGUACCCGUGGCCUAUUUUUGGCACACGGAGGCCGCCCGCCAAGUCUGGGGCCAUUCCGAGUCCGGGGGACGAACUUCCCCCACGCCCCCCACCAAGGCUAUAGCCCACCCGUUUUUUGGCCAUUUUUCCGCUGGGGGGUCUUGGGACCCCGACCUUCGGGGGCUGAUUUUUGGGCGCGGCUGUGCCCGUGGCCUAUUUUUGGCACACGGAGGCCGCCCGCCAAGUCUGGUGCCAUUCCGAGUCUCGCAGACGAACUUCGCCCACGCACCCCACCAAGGCUAUAGCCCACCCAUUUUUUGGCCAUUUUUCCGCUGGGGGGUCUUGGAACCCCGACUUUCGUGGGCUGAUUUUUGGGCGCGGCUGUGCCCGUGGCCUAUUUUUGGCACACGGAGGCCGCCCGCCAAGUCUGGUGCCAUUCCGAGUCCCGCGGACGAACAUCGCCCGCGCCCCCCACCAAGGCUAUAGCCAACCCGUUUUUUGGCCAUUUUUCCGCUGGGGGGUCUUGGGACCCCGACUUUCGGGGGCUGAUUUUUGGGCGCGCCUGUGCCCGUGGCCUAUUUUUGGCACACGGAGGCCGGCCGCCAAGUCUGGGGCCAUUCCGAGUCCGGCGGACGAACUUCGCCCACGCCCCCCACCAAGGCUAUAGCCCACCCGUUUUUUGCUCAUUUUUCCGCUGGGGUGUCUUGGGACCCCGACCUUCGGGGGCUGAUUUUUGGGCGCGGCUGUGCCCGUGGCCUAUUUUUGGCACACGGAGGCCGCCCGCCAAGUCUGGUGCCAUUCCGAGUCCCGCAGAUGAACUUCGCCCACGCACCCCACCAAGGCUAUAGCCCACCCAUUUUUUGGCCAUUUUUCCGCUGGGGGGUCUUGGAACCCCGACUUUCGUGGGCUGAUUUUUGGGCGCGGCUGUGCCCGUGGCCUAUUUUUGGCACACGGAGGCCGCCCGCCAAGUCUGGUGCCAUUCCGAGUCCCGCGGAUGAACUUCGCCCGCGCCCCCCACCAAGGCUAUAGCCAACCCGUUUUUUGGCCAUUUUUCCGCUGGGGGGUCUUGGGACCCCGACUUUCGGGUGCUGAUUUUUGGGCGCGCCUGUGCCCGUGGCCUAUUUUUGGCACACGGAGGCCGCCCGCCAAGUCUGGGGCCAUUCCGAGUCCGGCGGACGAACUUCGCCCACGCCCCCCACCAAGGCUAUAGCCCACCCGUUUUUUGCUCAUUUUUCCGCUGGGGUGUCUUGGGACCCCGACCUUCGGGGGCUGAUUUUUGGGCGCGGCUGUGCCCGUGGCCUAUUUUUGGCACACGGAGGCCGCCCGCCUAGUUUGGGGCCAUUCCGAGUCAGGCGGACGAACUUCGCCCAAGCCCCCCACCAAGGCUAUAGCCCACCCGUUUUUUGGCCAUUUUCCGCUGGGGGGUCUUGGCACCCCGACCUUCGGGGGCUGAUUUUUGGGCGCGCCUGUGCCCGUGGCCUAUUUUUGGCACACGGAGGCCGUCCGCCAAGUCAGGGGCCAUUCCGAGUCCGGCGGACGAACUUCGCCCACGCCCCCCACCAAGGCUAUAGCCCACCCGUUUUUUGGCCAUUUUUCCGGUUGGGGGUCUUGGGACCCCGACCUUCGGGGGCUGAUUUUUGGGCACGGCUGUACCCGUGGCCUAUUUUUGGCACACGGAGGCCGCCCGCCAAGUCUGGGGCCAUUCCGAGACCGGGGGACGAACUUCCCCCACGCCCCCCACCAAGGCUAUAGCCCACCCGUUUUUUGGCCAUUUUUCCGCUGGGGGGUCUUGGGACCCCGACCUUCGGGGGCUGAUUUUUGGGCGCGGCUGUGCCCGUGGCCUAUUUUUGGCACACGGAGGCCGCCCGCCAAGUCUGCUGCCAUUCCGAGUCCCGCGGACGAACUUCGCCCGCGCCACCCACCGAGGCUAUAGCCAACCCGUUUUUUGGCCAUUUUUCCGCUGGGGGGUCUUGGGACCCCGACUUUCGGGGGCUGAUUUUUGGGCGCGCCUGUGCCCGUGGCCUAUUUUUGGCACACGGAGGCCGGCCGCCAAGUCUGGGGCCAUUCCGAGUCCGGCGGACGAACUUCGCCCACGCCCCCAACCAAGGCUAUAGCCCACCCGUUUUUUGCUCAUUUUUCCGCUGGGGGGUCUUGGGACCCCGACCUUCGGGGGCUGAUUUUUGGGCGCGGCUGUGCCCGUGGCCUAUUUUUGGCACACGGAGGCCGCCCGCCAAGUCUGGGGCCAUUCUGAGUCCCGCGGACGAACUUCGCCCACGCCGCCCACCAAGGCUAUAGCCCACCCGUUUUUUGGCCUUUUUUCCGCUGGGGGGUCUUGGGACCCCAACUUCGGGGGCUGAUUUUUGGGCGCGGCUGUGCCCGUGGCCUACUUUUGGCACACGGAGGCCGCCCGCCAAGUCUGAGGCCAUUCCGAGUCCGGCGGACAAACUUCGCCCACGCCCCCCACCAAGGCUAUAGCCCACCCGUUUUUUGGCCAUUUUUCCGUUGGGGGGUCUUGGGACCCCGACCUUCGGGGGCUGAUUUUUGGGCGCGCCUGUGCCCGUGGCCUAUUUUUAGCACACGGAGGCCACCCGCCAAGUCUGGAGCCAUUCCGAGUAAAGCGGACGAACUUCGCCCACGCCCCCCACCAAGGGCUAUAGCCCACCCGUUUUUUGGCCAUUUUUUCCGCUGGGGGGUCUUGGGACCCCGACCUUCGGGGGCUGAUUUUUGGGCGCGGCUGUGCCUGUGGCCUAUUUUUGGCACACGGAGGGCGCCCGCCAAGUCUGGGGCCAUUCUGAGUCCCGCGGACGAACUUCGCCUACGCCGCCCACCAAGGCUAUAGCCCACCCGUUUUUUGGCCAUUUUUCCGCUGGGGGGUCUUGGGACCCCGACUUCGGGGGCAGAUUUUUGGGCGCGGCUGUGCCCGUGGCCGAUUUUUGGCACACGGAGGCCGCCCGCCAAGUCUGGGGCCAUUCCGAGUCAGGCGGACGAACUUCGCCCACGCCCCCCACCAAGGCCAUAGCCCACCCGUUUUUUGGCCAUUUUUCCGCUGGGGGGUCUUGGGACCCCGACCUUCGGCGGCUGAUUUUUGGGUGCGCCUGUGCCCGUGGCCUAUUUUUCGCACACGGAGGCCGCCCGCCAAG